rnacentral:piRNA from 1 species
UAAAUUUAUAUGGGUGGGGUCUUGCCUUA